rnacentral:sRNA from 1 species
GCCAGGCGUGGUGGAACAUGCCUGUAAUCCCAGCUACUCAGGAGGCUGAGACAGGAGAAUGGCUUGAACCCGGGAGGCGGGAGAUUGCAGUGAGCCGAGAUAUCACGCCAUUGCACUCCAGCCUAGAUGACACAGACUCUAUCAAAAAAAAAAAAAAAAAAAAAAAAGCCAGAUUUGGUGGUGCACACGUGUGGUCUCGGCUGUUUGGAAGACUGAAGCUAGAGGAUCACAUGAGCCCAGGGGUUGAAGGCUGCAGUGAGCUAUGAUCACACCACUGCACUCCAACCUGGGUGACAGAGCAAGACUCUGUCUCA